CCCAUUGAUAGAUGGAGGCAGAAAUUUUAAGCAGCCUUUUAGAAGUCGGAAAACAGGUAGAAGACAGGAAGAGAAGGCUUGCUCUUCACCUCCAUGAGUGUGGGCCUGUGAAGUGAGGGCUUCUGCCAUCUCCCCACCACUGCUCAGCAGCAGGUGGAGGUGAAGCCCCACAUGGCCCCCAGUGAGGUUGUUACCACAGCCAUAGAUGUGGGGCGCUGGGGGAGCCUGACAGAAGCACUGGUGGAUCCUCACUGGUGGGAGGAUCCAUAACCAUAACACAGUUGGGGAAGUGAAGUGAUGUGACACAGUGCAGCAGGAAAAGGCCCUUUGUGACCCAAAUGCUGCCAGUGCCGUGGUGGCCAGGCCGGGGCCUGGGCUGUGGCAUGGCCGAGGUGGGCUGGGCCUCCGUGGACGCCGGCCUUCCCGCAGAGAACUGCGAAACCCCUCUGUGUGGCAGGGCCUGCUUUCUCCAUGUCGCAGCCUGCGUACAGUCAGCGGUUGUAUCAAACUGGCUCUUAAAUGCAGGAUCCAUUGAUCUGAAAGGAUGUUUGCCAUUGCUUUAUAGUGCAAUCCUGCAGAUAAUAUACCCAGAUACAAGAUCUCAUGAUGGGGGUGCCGCACCCCCCUCCCUCUCCUAG
rnacentral:lncRNA from 1 species